CAGCCGCCACGGGAAUACGUAGGGUGCAAGCGUUAAUCGGAAUUACUGGGCGUAAAGCGUGCGCAGGCGGUUAUAUAAGACAGAUGUGAAAUCCCCGGGCUCAACCUGGGAACUGCAUUUGUGACUGUAUAGCUAGAGUACGGCAGAGGGGGAUGGAAUUCCGCGUGUAGCAGUGAAAUGCGUAGAUAUGCGGAGGAACACCGAUGGCGAAGGCAAUCCCCUGGGCCUGUACUGACGCUCAUGCACGAAAGCGUGGGGAGCAAACAGGAUUAGAUACCCCGGUAGUCCCUGUCUCUUAUAC
rnacentral:rRNA from 1 species